AUUGAACGCUUGCGGCAGGCCUAACACAUGCAAGUCGAGCGAGCGGCGAACGGAUGAGGAAGGUAUGGGGAACUGCCCUAUAGGGGGGGAUAACUACUGGAACCGGUUGCUACUACCGCAUACUAUCGGAUAAACCCAUAAGGGGUUAGCUGGUAGGUUGGGUAAAGGCUCACCUAGGCGACGAUCUCUCGCUGGUAUGAGAGGAUGAUCAGCAACACGUGGACUAGGAGACGUGCCAGACUCCUACGGGAGGCAGCAGUGGGGAAUAUUGCACAAUGGGCGCAAGCCUGAUGCAGCCAUGCCGCGUGGAUGAAGAAGGCCUUAGGGUUGUAAAGUACUUGCGGCGGGGAGGCGUUACCCGCAGAAGAAGCACCGGCUAACUCCGUGCCAGCAGCCGCGGUAAUUC
rnacentral:rRNA from 1 species